AGCCGCCGCGGUAACACCGGCGGCCGAGUGGUGAUCGUGAUUAUUGGGUCUAAAGGGUCCGUAGCCGGUUUGGUCAGUCCUCCGGGAAAUCUGAUAGCUCAACUAUUAGGCUUUCGGGGGAUACUGCCAGACUUGGAACCGGGAGAGGUAAGAGGUACUACAGGGGUAGGAGUGAAAUCUUGUAAUCCCUGUGGGACCACCUGUGGCGAAGGCGUCUUACCAGAACGGGUUCGACGGUGAGGGACGAAAGCUGGGGGCACGAACCGGAUUAGAUACCCGGGUAGUCCCAGCCGUAAACGAUGCUCGCUAGGUGUCAGGCAUGGCGCGACCGUGUCUGGUGCCGCAGGGAAGCCGUGAAGCGAGCCACCUGGGAAGUACGGCCGCAAGGCUGAAACUUAAAGGAAUUGGCGGGGGAGCACAACAACGGGUGGAAGCCUGCGGUUUAAUUGGACUCAACGCCGGACAACUCACCGGGGGCGACAGCAAUAUGUAGGCCAAGCUGAAGACUUUGCCUGAAUCGCUGAGGGGUGGUGCAUGG
rnacentral:rRNA from 1 species